UACGUAGGGAGCAAGCGUUGUCCGGAAUCAUUGGGCGUAAAGAGCGUGUAGGCGGCCACACAGGUCUGCUGUGAAAACUCGAGGCUCAACCUCGAGCUGUCGGUGGAAACCGUGUGGCUAGAGUCCGGAAGAGGAGAGUGGAAUUCCCGGUGUAGCGGUGAAAUGCGCAGAUAUCGGGAAGAACACCCGUGGCGAAGGCGGCUCUCUGGGACGGUACUGACGCUGAGACGCGAAGGCGUGGGGAGCGAACAGG
rnacentral:rRNA from 1 species